rnacentral:rRNA from 1 species
UACAGAGGUCUCAAGCGUUGUUCGGAUUCAUUGGGCGUAAAGGGUGCGUAGGCGGCGCGGUAAGUCGGGUGUGAAAUCUCGGAGCUUAACUCCGAAACUGCAUUCGAUACUGCCGUGCUUGAGGACUGGAGAGGAGACUGGAAUUUACGGUGUAGUGGUGAAAUGCGUAGAUAUCGUAAGGAAGACCAGUGGCGAAGGCGGGUCUCUGGACAGUUCCUGACACUGAGGCACGAAGGCCAGGGGAGCAAACGGG